AUGCUCCUAGGGCAGCUGCAUUUAAUUCAAUUGAGAAAACACUUGUGGAGUUGCAGCUUUAUCUGUUACUCUCCAUUGUCCACAAAUAGCUUUGGAAAAGCUCUUACAUUGUUAGAGUUGGCUUUUGUGUGAUGUGUUAGAAGAUAAGCAAUGCAGAAGACACUGGAUUUUUUCCUCUUAGAAGCAGGCAUGACAGCAGCUACAUUCAGUCCGGAGGUGAGACCACAACCACCACACCACAAACCAUCCUGGGACUCUAGCGUAUUGCCUCAGAGGGCAAUAACCAGACAACAGUAGAGAUGGAAAUUGGAAGAUUAAGAAACUUACUUAUAAAGAAGAAGAGUAAAACAAAUAUCCAGAAAUGCUUGGAGACUUUAGACAAUUAAAAGGAGAAAAAAUGCCUGGCAUACUCCGAAGAGGGAUUAUCAGGAAUGAUUGCAGCACCAGCCCACAGCUCAUAUGAAGUUAACCAUUGCAUGAUUGGAAAACUCCUGUGCUGCAAAGUUGCAUCACUAAUCAAUCACUCCGUCAACUCCAAUUGUAUGCUGAAACCUCUACUUUCCUUCAUCUUCUGUGUAAAUAUAUUUCUUUUUCUUCCCUCUGCUGGAGAGGUUUGAAGUCUGAAGUAAUAAAGAGAACAAAUUAUGAUUGAGAACUUAUGAACAAAUGAAAACACUCAAAAAAUCAAUGGAGAAACAAAAAUAAAAUGAAACAAAUCCAGCAAGCUCUGCUUAAGUUAGAAAGUACUACCAAAAAUGCUCUUGACAUAUUAUAAUACCUGUAUAUGUUACAGUAAGAAGAUACUCUUUACCUUGGAGGCAACAUAAAUUCAGCGUAUUAAUACACAAGCUGACAAGGCUUUUAUUUAAAUACUGUCUUGAAUGCAAUGUACAGCCAGUGUACAUUAACAGCAUGUAAAUCAUUUCUCUGCUAUAGCUGCCUUAACCUAUUUCUUCUUCCUCUUUUCCAACAUUGUCAAAGUUUUGUUUCGUUUCUCCCCUUCCCUUGAAUAAAUGCUGUUUUCAGUGCACAGCUCCAAGCUACCUCUUUAUUGCCAGUUCCAGGCCUAUGGUACCAGGAGUUAAUCGCCCUUCAGCUACAUAUUGUUAACUGUGAUGUGCCUGCUACCUAUAAAGGAGGAAAAGGCUCCUUUUUAUACCAGAGAAUAAGAUAUAUUCUACAGAAUUGCUGGGGUGGGGGGGAGCCUUUGUUGAAAGAAGGGGACUACAGCUAUGUUUUAUUAGUAUUAUAAAGAAAUCCGUACUCCAUUGAGAACACAUGCUGCAUUGCAAGGGAAUGUAACAUUUCCUGUGCUAUCAAGACGUUAUUUGCAGCUUGUUUAAUGAACUCAAUUUCAUUUUUAUCUGUACUUUGUAUGUAGAUAAAGAAACAAAUAAAAGCAACAAAA